UGUACCCUUUUCAGGGGAGAAAGAGAAACAGAGUGCACACUAGAAUAGUAGUGUAAUAACUCCUUAGUGUUUAUGAAAAACCCAAUAUAAUUCACCAAUCCAAGGACCAGAGUAUGCCAUCCAAUCACAGCUAAGACUCUCAGGGUAUGUGUUACACCCGGGGGUGAUUCUAAAGGGAGAGCCUAUGAAUGAGGGUUGAUAACGGUGCCUAGAAUUCACCGUCACACAAAUUACCAUGGAAAUCUUAUAUCCAUUUCUGUCUAAGAUCACUUCAUUAAAGUUCCAUCAAAGAGUUUUCACAAGAUUCUACUUGUGUGUGCUUUACACCCACUUUGUAUUAGUGAUGUUUUUUGGUCACUAGGGGAAGAGACAUUCCCUCUGAAUCUGGGGAGGCAUGAAAGCCCUCCCCAGGACAAGACAAAAAGCGCAUGUCUUGUCUGGCCCGAGUAUUGUAGCGUGCAUUUAAAAAGGAAGAGAGAACAACUGAACUGCAAUCUGUAUUUGGUGGCAAAGGCGUGAAGAAUAGUCAGAGACGUGUCUGUGUGGGUAAUUACUAAGAGCAGAUCACCCCAUCGCUCAUUAAUCAUGAAGGACAUUUGCAGACAGUUUUUUUGCCGCCUGCUUCUUUCGUGUCACUUUCUUCCACACAGUGGUUUCAGUGGCCUGGAUUUAGUGGUGACCCAGUCUCCUCAUCUGACAGUAACUGAAGGAGGAACAGUUCAAAUCAAGUGCUGCUGGAAUCAAAAUCUAAUAAGGGCCACAGUUAAUUGGAAGAGCAAUGCAACAAAUAUGUCUGUGCUCGUUAAUAACCGUCAGUGUCAGAACAGGUCCUCUAAACAUAACGAAUCAUGCUGCUUAAAUCUGACCAUCUCAAACCUGAACAGAAGUGACUCGGGGACAUACACCUGUAAAGUAUCUUCAGAGAUACCAGUUCUUCAACAGUCUGUGGGGAACGGGACACAUCUUACUGUUAUUUCUGCUAGACAGCAUGGAAGUCAAGAGGACAUUGAGACCUCAGAGGACAUAGCAGUCCGCUACACCUGGAGGUGCCUUCCCAUCCUGGUGAUACUAUCGGUCAUAUUUUACUACAAGUGCAAGAAAAAACGGUUAGUCUGUCACCAGUUCCAAUGGAAAAUAUAUGAUACAUAUUACAUCAUGUUAUAGUCCCUAAA